GACGAACGCUGGCGGCGUGCUUAACACAUGCAAGUCGAGCGGAAAGGCCCUGCUUUUGUGGGGUGCUCGAGUGGCGAACGGGUGAGUAACACGUGAGUAACCUGCCCUUGACUUUGGGAUAACUUCAGGAAACUGAGGCUAAUACCGGAUAGGAGCUCCUGCUGCAUGGUGGGGGUUGGAAAGUUUCGGCGGUUGGGGAUGGACUCGCGGCUUAUCAGCUUGUUGGUGGGGUAGUGGCUUACCAAGGCUUUGACGGGUAGCCGGCCUGAGAGGGUGACCGGCCACAUUGGGACUGAGAUACGGCCCAGACUCCUACGGGAGGCAGCAGUGGGGAAUAUUGCACAAUGGGCGGAAGCCUGAUGCAGCAACGCCGCGUGCGGGAUGACGGCCUUCGGGUUGUAAACCGCUUUCGCCUGUGACGAAGCGUGAGUGACGGUAAUGGGUAAAGAAGCACCGGCUAACUACGUG
rnacentral:rRNA from 1 species